GUCAUUUGUGAAUGUGUGUUGCAGCGUCUUCACAUUUAUUUGAUGAGUAAAACAAUAAGGAGGCAUCUCUUUACCCCGUUGGGCUUUUUAUUUUUAUUCUGCUGUAAAGAACAGACUGUACUGCAUGAUGGCUGCACAUAAAAAAUACAAUUAUUAACUAAUAAGAACACUCAGACUGUGAAAACAGUUGUAUAUUUGUGGCUUUGGAGAAGCUUAUUUAAGUCUGAGAAAAUAAACUUGUUAUCUGAGCUUGAUGGGCUUAGAAAAAAAUGGUAUUGGUUGCAUUAUGGGGAUUGUAGGAUUUUGAGUUUGCCCUACUGUAUACUAAGAGUGAUACCAGUUGAUAACGACACAUUACUCCGGUAUUUUGUGCAUACAAACACCGUAGCAACAUGUUCACAGACAGAAGUUGGGUUGUGUGUACAACUGAUUUAAUGAGACACAAAGAAGACAUAAAUGCUA